GAUGAACGCUGACAGAAUGCUUAACACAUGCAAGUCUUUGGCGAAGCUGUGCUUGCACAGCCUAGCCAAGGCGGACGGGUGAGUAACGCGUAAGGAACUUGCCCUGCAGUCAGGGAUAACAGACGGAAACGACUGAUAAGACCUGGUAAAGUCAGGCGGACUCAUGUCCAGCCUGAUGAAAAGAGAUGCUGCAGGAGAGCCUUGCGUCCUAUUAGCUUGUUGGUGGGGUAACGGCCCACCAAGGCGAUGAUAGGUAGCCGGCCUGAGAGGGUGGACGGCCACGAGGGGACUGAGAUACGGCCCUUACUCCUAAGGGAGGCAGCAGUGGGGAAUAUUGGACAAUGGGGGCAACCCUGAUCCAGCAAUUCUGUGUGCACGAUGAAGGUUUUCGGAUUGUAAAGUGCUUUCAGCAGGGAAGAAAAAAAUGACGGUACCUGCAGAAGAAGCGACGGCUAAAUACGUG
rnacentral:rRNA from 1 species